rnacentral:lncRNA from 1 species
UUUAGUGGUGGUGUGGGUGGUCAGCUGCUGGUGGCGUAUUGGUUGCUGUGUGGACUGGAAUGGCGUUGUGGUGAUGCGUUGGGGCUGUUGUCAUGGACCGGUUCGGGUGAGAGCGGUGGCUGCGUGGGUCUGUCAGGGCUAUCGGUAUGGUGGCUGCUGUGUUGCCAGGUUCCGGCAAGGAAAAGGGAGAGAGUUAAGAAUUCUCUCUCUCUCUCUCGUUCUGAAUGUCUCCAAAAU